rnacentral:rRNA from 1 species
UACGUAGGGUGCAAGCGUUGUCCGGAAUUAUUGGGCGUAAAGAGCUCGUAGGCGGUUUGUCGCGUCUGCUGUGAAAACCCGAGGCUCAACCUCGGCCUGCAGUGGUACGGCAGACUAGAGUGCGGUAGGGGAGAUUGGAAUUCCUGGUGUAGCGGUGGAAUGCGCAGAUAUCAGGAGGAACACCAAUGGCGAGCAGAUCUCUGGCCGUAACUGACGCUGAGGAGCGAAAGCAUGGGAGCGAACAGG